UACGGGGGGGGGCAAGCGUUGUUCGGAAUUACUGGGCGUAAAGGGCUCGUAGGCGGCCAACUAAGUCAGACGUGAAAAUCCCUCGGCUUAACCGGGGGAACUGCAUCUGAUACUGGAUGGCUUGAGUUCGGGAGAGGGAUGCGGAAUUCCAGGUGGAGCGGUGAAAUGCGCAGAAUAUCAGGAGGAACACCGGGUGGCGAAGGCGGGUCUCUGG
rnacentral:rRNA from 1 species